rnacentral:lncRNA from 1 species
GAAAGCUAUCUGCUAGGAAUGCCGAGGCCCUCAUCUGGGCCCAGACGACUUGUGGCAGCCCCCACAGGCAUUUUCCUGAACAGAGCCAGUGUUGUGACUGGAUCAGCUCUCGUGGUUCUUAGGAUGAUUGCGAGAUGCGCCCCAGCAACCACCAUCAGAGAACUCGGAAUAACAAGAUUUGUUACUCACAGGUCCUGGAGGGUAUGUGGUGGGCCCAAGUGCCACGCAACAAGAUCUCAGGGAGAGAGAAAGAGAAAGACUGUGGGCCUGGGGCUCUGCCUUUAUGGGGGUCCAAGGGUGGAAGCCUAGGGUUUCACAGGUUCACUCUUUAUUUGCAAAUUUAAAACAUAAGUGUGAGAAUGAGGGUGUGGGAAGGGAAAACGGGUCACUCAAGCAGUCAGUUAUCUAGGAUACCCAGGAUUCUAAAAGGGGAAUUUCAAAGGUGGGGCAGCCUGGUUUCUUAUUGAGUUGUUUUACUAACAGCUGUGUCAUACAGCUGUCAAUGUGUGUAUUCGAGGUGAAUGGCCUUGCAAUGAUGCCUCAGCAAUGAAAAGCUUGAGGUCAGGAACGCAAUGUGAGACGCAACUGCAGGUGUCAGACAGGUAUCUGCUUUCAUUCUUUUGCAUGUGGCUGUCCAGUUUUCUCAACACCAUUUAUUGAAGAGACUCUCCUUUCCCCACUGUAUAUUCUUGGCUCCUUUGUUAAAAAUCUCAUGCAUAUACAAGCAUAUAUAUGCACAUCCUUAGAAAACAAACAGCGAAUGGAAUCAGACAUUUCAGGUGUACAUCAUAGUGACUCGAUAUUCAUACACAUUCGGAAAUGAUCACCAUGACAGAACGAGGAGUUGGAAAACCAGAAGAGCAGAGGAGAUGCUGAGAAAGACAAGACUGCUAGCAGGUGUUCCAAGCACAGAGAGCGCAUUUGAAGGCUACUGCUUGGCUUUUGCUUAUGUGUGAACUGGGGGCCAGUUGUCUUACAAGAAUGGUAAAUAAAGGCAAGGAGUUUUUAACCAA